CUGGAAGUGAUGCAAAUGUUCAGAACCUGAUUUGCAGUGAUGGUUUCUGUAUUCAUACUGUCUGAUCCAG